rnacentral:rRNA from 1 species
UACGUAGGGUGCGAGCGUUGUCCGGAAUUAUUGGGCGUAAAGAGCUUGUAGGCGGUUUGUCGCGUCUGCUGUGAAAUUUCGGGGCUCAACCCCGAACUUGCAGUGGGUACGGGCAGACUAGAGUGUGGUAGGGGAGACUGGAAUUCCUGGUGUAGCGGUGAAAUGCGCAGAUAUCAGGAGGAACACCGAUGGCGAAGGCAGGUCCCUGGGCCACUACUGACGCUGAGAAGCGAAAGCAUGGGGAGCGAACAGG